CAACUCAUUUUACACUUGCAGCGCAUGUCCAGCAGAUGGCGUUAAAUUACAGGUUAAUUAAGCCUUUUUAUCUCUAGCGCGUAAUCGCCGUGUGUAAUGAAAUUGGCUCCAUGGAACAACAUCAGUGGCCAGCUGGCUGAACACCCUGAACUGGGAUCAUUGGAGUUAAAACAGGGCAGUGAGAGGCUUCACAGGAGCGCGAUCCACUAUUGCAGAGGCAGUGAUGAAUCAUUUCUGCACACAGGAUUGAGAGUGAUGGGGCGUAGCAGUGAGCAGAAGGGCAGGCAGGUGAGGUAUCUUACCUUUUCUUUUUGCUCCCGACAGCCGAGGAGGAGUGAGCAGCAAAAGCCAGCAGGUGAGUGCUUGACAGGUAGCCAGUAGGCAAGGAAGACCAGUGUCAGAGAAAACCAGGAGAAUGAUUGAAGAGUGUGACUGCUGAUCCAAGGCCAAAGAUGACACCAUCAGCUAACAAUCUGCCAGAAUGUUGAGGACUGAGCUGGUCCCAAAGUACAGCCUGGCUGAUUGCUGCCAAUGGACUGCAGGUAAGAAGAGGAAGACAGCUUCAGGAGCCAGAGUGGAAAAAAUACACCAUAAAACUGAUACACAACACUGAGCUUUGUGACAUGGUGUGUUAUCCUGCUGGAAGCAGCCAUCAGAAGGUGAGUACAGUGUAUCAUAAAGUGAUGGAAAUGGUCAGCAACAAUAGACGAUGCUGUGUGAAUUGCAGCCUCAGUUUCGUGUCCUUAGCUAACAGGAAUGCCACGCAGUGUGGUCUUCUGUUGCAGUGUGUUCAAAGAAGCUCUUCUGCAUGCCUUAGUUAUAAUGAGUACUUAUCUGUUGCCAUCCUAUCAAGCUCAAAGUAGUCUGGGCAAGCUCCCCUGAUCUCUGGCAGUCAAAUGGCAUUUUCAGCCAGAGAACUGCUGCUCACUGGAUAUUUCCUUUUUUCUAGAUGAGUCUCUGCAAACCCUAGAGGUGACUGUGCAAGCAAUUGACAGUAGAUAAGCAGUUUUUGAAAUUCUCAAACCAGCAUCUGGCACCGACAGCCAUUCCACAUUUAAAGUCAGUUAAAUCAGCUUUCUUCCCAAUUCUGAUGCUCAGUUUGAAAUUCAGCAGGUCGUCUUGAGCAUAUUCAAACACACUGAGUUGCUGCCAUGUGACAGAGCUGAUUAGAUAUAAGACGCAGUUGAACAGGCAUAACUCAUGAAGCAGCCUGUAAGUGUUAGUUAGUGAAUGCACACAAACAGAAGCUGCCCCUUCAAUUAUGCAGUAAUACUUACAUUCAGAUAUGUACUAGACUUUUCACUGCCAUCAAUACAGCAGCAAAUUUGCCUGUUACUCAUUUCAACAUCAUGUCCCAUCAACUGAUAAAAAGUUGGUUAUUCAAGGGUUUUUUUGUCUUCAGAGUCAUCAGCUAAAAUGAGAUCUUUCCAAUUUGUGACAUUUUUUUCUGCUACAGAUGUAACAAAACAGGGGAAAGGAUCAGUGACAACAGCAUAGCCCAUAUAAGUGAAAAGCUGGAGAGAUGAAGGAUAAUACCACCUGCAGCCCCUUAGAGAACAAAAUUCUCUUUUUAGCUUACUUGCUAAGCAAACAUGUCAAUAACUUAAUAACCACCCCCUCAUGUUUGACACAGCCACAUUUCCAAAUUAACCUUGAAAAGCCUCCAACAGUCUGGAUAUGUUAUCUCUCCAGUCCUGGAAGGGUUUAGUUUAUUUUGGUAUUUAAAAAAAAAAAUGUCCCUAAGUACACCAUAUUUGGGUAAAUAAAACAUGACCCAAAAAUAAUCUGUUCUGGGAUGAAUAAAUCAGGAUUGCCGUGUAUUGUGGGAAUGAUGGAUAUUUGUGCAUAAAGCUGACAUUUCUUUAGCUGUUGAGCUAGUCAGUGCUUUACAUUGGGGGUGGGGGGGCUCCUUUGACUUUGUUCAUAUUUUGCUGAUGUAACUAACUUUUCAAGUGUCAAAAUAUGCUGACUACACAUGUUAUAAAAGUCUGUUCCACCAUGUCUUCUCAUCAACCUAACCAUAAUUGCUGGCUGGGGAUUUAUGAGUUAGAUUUUUUUUUCACCACAGUUCAAAGUAACUCCUGUAAAGUUCGACAAUCUACAACAGAUGUUGAUGAUGCAUGUUGUGUCAGGCAACAUGGGGGACUUAACAAGGCAGAAACAAGGAUUACACACUAUGUGCAAGUGAUCAAGAUCGGAUUAUGGAUAUCGAUGCUAGUCUUGUGUGAAGGAAAAUAAACAUCCACCUGAAUAAGAUGUGAAAUACUCAAACAAAAUCUAUGCUGACAGCAAAUCCGAGCACAGUCGGGGUACCAGGGGUAUUUGCUUCUCCUCUCUUGCGGUUUUGUAAAACAGGUGAAAAACCAAUGUUACCGUGGGUGUCGCACAAUGUGCAUGCAUGUCCCAUCUGUGUUUGUUUGCUCCAGAGCCCACGUACAAAUCAGGCCAUAGGAAAAAGUGACUUUUAUGCAACAUGCAGACUCCAGACCUCUGUUUUAUUGCAGUACUGUAGUCACAACAAAUGCAACUUGGGGAUUUGGUGUAAUCUUACAAAACCCUUCACCACCACAACCCUCGCUUUCCUUGUUGGAAAACUGUUUCUAAAUAACUUAAUUAACACAGACACACACACUCAAUGUGUGUUGUCUGUACAUUUAGUGUGCUGUUAGCUUUUUCUUGUCCAAUAGCCUUGUAGACAACGACUGGAGACAAGUUUUGAACAGACGGUGAAACCAGCUUUUGUGCAGAGUCAUUUUUAAAAUAAAGUUUGUUUCCAUGAGAGAUCUUUACCUGAAUGUUAAUGAUAGAAUAAGAUGCAACAAUAUUGCACAAGAUGAUAGAGGUGUUGUGAUUACUGUAAUUUGCUUCACUCCCGGGAUCUAAACUUCAUCCAGCUUCCUUUUGUCUUUAAUGUUGGAUCAAACUUCAUACUGCUGAGCUGGCAUUCAGUGUAAAUAUUUUUGCAGCAUCAAAUCUCGGUUGAGCAGACUACUUAAAACAUAAAUCACUGAGGAACUCAGAACUGCUGUUGGCACAUGGUGAGGCUGAUGUCAUUAUUCAGAGUCUCGGUGGGAUCUCUGUGGAGAUUCCGGGAUAUUGUUCCAUAGUGAGUCAGUGAACAGGGAGAAGGCUAAGAAGAAAACUGUUCUGCUGUAAUGCAAACCGUAAGACCCCCUUCAGCUUGAACCACUGGCUCUCAUGAAAAAAAGGGAAAAAAAAGAAAAGAAAAUCAGCUAUAUUGGACAACCUUCAAUGUGUUUUCAGUAUGUCUACAGGAACUUGCAAUUGAGGCCAUAUGUGUGAGUCAGUAUCUGUGU